rnacentral:rRNA from 1 species
UAGGUGGGCACUCUAAGGAGACUGCCGGUGACAAACCGGAGGAAGGUGGGGAUGACGUCAAGUCAUCAUGGCCCUUACGGCCUGGGCUACACACGUGCUACAAUGGUCGGUACAAAGGGUUGCCAAGCCGCGAGGUGGAGCUAAUCCCAUAAAACCGAUCGUAGUCCGGAUCGCAGUCUGCAACUCGACUGCGUGAAGUCGGAAUCGCUAGUAAUCGUGAAUCAGAAUGUCACGGUGAAUACGUUCCCGGGCCUU